rnacentral:rRNA from 1 species
UACGAAGGGGGCUAGCGUUGUUCGGAAUCACUGGGUUUAAAGGGUGCGUAGGUGGGCAAGUAAGUCAGUGGUGAAAUCUCCGGGCUUAACCCGGAAACUGCCAUUGAUACUAUUUGUCUUGAAUACUGUGGAGGUCAGCGGAAUAUGUCAUGUAGCGGUGAAAUGCUUAGAUAUGACAUAGAACACCAAUUGCGAAGGCAGCUGGCUACACAAAUAUUGACACUGAGGCACGAAAGCGUGGGGAUCAAACAGG